UAAUACGAGGGGGGCAAGCGUUGUCCGGAUUUAUUGGGCGUAAAGAGUUCGUAGGCUGGUUGGUCAGUCGAAAUUGUAAUCCCACGGCUUAACCGUGGACCCGGUUUCGAUACUGCCAAUCUUGAGUGAGGUAGAGGUAAGCGGAAUUCCUGGUGUAGCGGUGAAAUGCGUAGAUAUCAGGAGGAACACCAAAGGCGAAGGCAGCUUACUGGACCUACACUGACGCUGAGGAACGAAAGCGUGGGGAGCAAACAGGAUUAGAGACCCUGGUAGUCCACGCCGUAAACGAUGAGUACUUGGUGGUGGGGGAUUCGACCCCUUCACUGUCGGAGCUAACGCGUUAAGUACUCCGCCUGGGAACUACGACCGCAAGGUUG
rnacentral:rRNA from 1 species